CCUCUCCUCUCUCCCCUUCUCCUCUCUCGUCUCAACGCAGGGAUCUCUCUUUGUAUUUUGAAACCCUAGAUCUGAUCUGAGUUUGCUUUUCUCUGUUGUAGCUUUUUUUUCAAUUUCUGCAGUUUCUGAUCUGGGUACUCUUUAUAUCUCGAUCUCUUCCGUUAAAAUUGUCUGUUCUCUAUGCUAAUGGGUGCCUGCCUUAUGUUCGAUUUUAUGCCGUAUGAAUUUUUUUUUUGAUAAACCAAGUUACGUACUGGUUGAUGAUUGAGUGACUGUUGCCUUUUGUUGUUUGGUACUGUAAUUUGGGAGAAUAUGUGUACACAUGCACUCCCAUAUAAAUAAUUCUAUUUGCCUGAAUAUAGAACUCAAAACCCAUACUUGAAGGGAAAAGAAAUCGGAUCCAGAUAGAAUAUGGAUAUUUACAUGAAGAUAGGAAGUUAAUUUAUUCUUUUGUAAGUAUAAAAGAUUUGAGUCAUGAAGAUUUGGAUUCAACAGAUGAGUUCUAGUUGUUAAAAAUGGUAAAUGAUGAAAGGGAUUCAAGGAUCCAACUUAAACGUACAAGGGAAGAAUUUGAGAGGAGAGAGGAUGAUGACAUUAUUAUGGUAGUGGUCAGUUUUAUAGUUGCUGCCAUUGGUGCUUGGUACUAUACAAAGCACAUGUUGAAGGAGAGUUCAAGAACACACGAAGAAGAGGAUGAAAGGACAUACCUUAGAAAGUCUUGGAUUCGAAAUCUUAUUUGCAAUGCAAAUAACUGUGUUGAACAACUAAGGAUGAAUCCUCAAGCGUUUAAGAGGUUAUGUGAUGUUCUAUGUACUAGAGGGGGAUUAGUAGCAUCAAGAAAUGUCACGAUUGAAGAAAUUGUCGCUAUGUUUUUGCAUAUUUUAGCUCAUAAUGUAAAAAAUAGGACAAGCAA